UAGGGAAUAUUGCAAAAUGGGCGAAAGCCCGAUGCAGCAACGCCGCGUGGGCGAUGAAGGCCUUCGGGUCGUAAAGCCCUUUUCGAGGGGAUGAGGAAGGACAGUACCCUCAGAAUAAGCCUCGGCUAACUACGUGCCAGCAGCCGCGGUAAAACGUAGGAGGCGAGCGUUAUCCGGAUUUACUGGGCGUAAAGCGCGUGCAGGCGGAUUGGAGAGUUGGAUGUGAAAGCUCCCGGCUUAACUGGGAGAGGUCGUUCAAUACUUCCAGUCUUGAGUGCAGUAGAGGGAAGUGGAAUUCCGGGUGUAGUGGUGAAAUGCGUAGAUAUCCGGAGGAACACCAGUGGCGAAAGCGGCUUCCUGGACUGUAACUGACGCUCAGACGCGAAAGCUAGGGUAGCAAACG
rnacentral:rRNA from 1 species